rnacentral:rRNA from 1 species
UGGGGAAUAUUGCACAAUGGGCGCAAGCCUGAUGCAGCCAUGCCGCGUGUGUGAAGAAGGCCUUCGGGUUGUAAAGCACUUUCAGCGAGGAGGAAGGGUAGUGUGUUAAUAGCACAUUGCAUUGACGUUACUCGCAGAAGAAGCACCGGCUAACUCCGUGCCAGCAGCCGCGGUAAUACGGAGGGUGCAAGCGUUAAUCGGAAUUACUGGGCGUAAAGCGCACGCAGGCGGUUUGUUAAGUCAGAUGUGAAAUCCCGCGCUUAACGUGGGAACUGCAUU